rnacentral:rRNA from 1 species
AAUCAAAGGGAUGUAGAAAUCAUGCUUCGGGAUUCAUUAUGCGUCCAAGGCCUUUUGUUCUUCUUCGAAUCUGUUGUUUUGGAACAAGUUUUUUUGGUUCUAAAAAAUAAACAGUUUCAAAAGGUUCAAUUGUACGAAAUGAAUUUCUAG